rnacentral:rRNA from 1 species
AGAGUUUGAAUAUGGCUCAGGAUGAACGCUAGCGGCAGGCUUAACACAUGCAAGUCGAGGGGUAACAUUGAUUGCUUGCAUCAGAUGACGACCGGCGCACGGGUGCGUAACGCGUAUAGAAUCUGCCUUGUACAGGAGGAUAGCCUUUAGAAAUGAAGAUUAAUACUCCAUAAUGCUGAGAGAUGGCAUCAUUUUUUAGUUAAAGAUUUAUCGGUAAAGGAUGGGCAUGCGUCCUAUUAGUUAGUUGGUAAGGUAACGGCUUACCAAGACAUCGAUAGGUAGGGGGUCUGAGAGGAUGGUCCCCCACACUGGUACUGAGACACGGACCAGACUCCUACGGGAGGCAGCAGUGAGGAAUAUUGGGCAAUGGAGGCAACUCUGACCCAGCCAUGCCGCGUGCAGGAAGACGGCCCUACGGGUUGUAAACUGCUUUUAUUUGGGAAGAAACUCUGUUACGUGUAACAGACUGACGGUACCAAACGAAUAAGCACCGGCUAACUCCGUGCCAGCAGCCGCGGUAAUACGGAGGGUGCAAGCGUUAUCCGGAAUUAUUGGGUUUAAAGGGUCCGUAGGCGGAUUAAUAAGUCAGAGGUGAAAUCCUACAGCUUAACUGUGGAACUGCCUUUGAUACUGUUAGUCUUGAGUUAUAUGGAAGUAGAUAGAAUGUGUAGUGUAGCGGUGAAAUGCAUAGAUAUUACACGGAAUACCGAUUGCGAAGGCAGUCUACUACGUAUAUACUGACGCUAAGGGACGGAAGCGUGGGGAGCGAACAGGAUUAGAUACCCUGGUAGUCCACGCCGUAAACGAUGGACACUAGUUGUUGGGGAUUAUUUCAGUGACUAAGCGAAAGUGAUAAGUGUCCCACCUGGGGAGUACGAUCGCAAGAUUGAAACUCAAAGGAAUUGACGGGGGCCCGCACAAGCGGUGGAGCAUGUGGUUUAAUUCGAUGAUACGCGAGGAACCUUUCCAGGGCUUAAAUGUAAGUUGCAUGAUUUAGAGAUAGAUCUUUCUUCGGACUACUUACAAGGUGCUGCAUGGUUGUCGUCAGCUCGUGCCGUGAGGUGUCAGGUUAAGUCCUAUAACGAGCGCAACCCCUAUCGUUAGUUGCUAGCAGGUAAUGCUGAGGACUCUAGCGAGACUGCCGGUGCAAACCGUGAGGAAGGUGGGGAUGACGUCAAAUCAUCACGGCCCUUACGUCCUGGGCUACACACGUGCUACAAUGGUAUGGACAAUGAGCAGCCACUUCGCGAGAAGGAGCGAAUCUAUAAACCAUAUCACAGUUCGGAUCGGAGUCUGCAACUCGACUCCGUGAAGUUGGAAUCGCUAGUAAUCGAAUAUCAGCCAUGAUUCGGUGAAUACGUUCCCGGGCCUUGUACACACCGCCCGUCAAGCCAUGGAAGCCGGGGGUACCUGAAGUCAGUAACCGCAAGGAGCUGCCUAGGGUAAAACUGGUAACUAGGGCUAAGUCGUAACAAGGUAGCCGUACCGGAAGGUGCGGCUGGAACACCUCCUUU